rnacentral:rRNA from 1 species
AGUGAACGCUGGCGGCAGGCCUAACACAUGCAAGUCGAACGGCAGCACAGUAAGCGCUUGCUCUUACGGGUGGCGAGUGGCGGACGGGUGAGGAAUACAUCGGAAUCUACUUUUUCGUGGGGGAUAACGUAGGGAAACUUACGCUAAUACCGCAUACGACCUACGGGUGAAAGCAGGGGAUCUUCGGACCUUGCGCGAUUGAAUUAGCCGAUGUCGGAUUAGCUAGUUGGCGAGGUAAAGGCCCACCAAGGCGACGAUCCGUAGCUGGUCUGAGAGGAUGAUCAGCCACACUGGAACUGAGACACGGUCCAGACUCCUACGGGAGGCAGCAGUAGGGAAUAUUGGACAAUGGGCGCAAGCCUGAUCCAGCCAUACCGCGUGGGUGAAGAAGGCCUUCGGGUUGUAAAGCCCUUUUGUUGGGAAAGAAAAGCAGCAGGUUAAUACCCCGCUGUUCUGACGGUACCCAAAGAAUAAGCACCGGCUAACUUCGUG